rfam:Microdochium bolleyi strain J235TASD1 unplaced genomic scaffold Micbo1qcscaffold_3, whole genome shotgun sequence.
UCCCGUAUAGUGUAACGGCUAACAUACCGCGUUUUCACCGCGGAGCUCGGGGUUCGAUUCCCCGUACGGGAG